rnacentral:misc_RNA from 1 species
AACCUAGCACACCUGCGGUGUGUACCUGCGGAGGGAUCAUUAAAAAGAGUGUGUACCCCCCUGUAAAAUGGGUGGGUUACCUCCCGUCCUUUGUUGACCUCUUAGGAGGUUAUUUUGAACUUUUCUGCUUCGGUGGGGUUAAACCUACCGGAACACCCUCAAAUUCUGAUCAUUUAAAAAUUGUUCAGUCCGAUUUUUGUUAAUAAAAACAAAAAACUUUCAACAAUGGAUCUCAGAUCG